rnacentral:rRNA from 11 species
AACAACCAUAGAGAAGCCUUCGAGAGGUAUUGGAAGAGUUUUCUUUUCUGUUGAACAAUCGUAUAACCAUGGAAGUCUUUCACAGAGAGAUAUGGUUAAUGGAUUGGAAGAACAUGACAUUUACUGUUGUGUCAAUACUUUCUCCUUGGACCUUGAAAAUCUAUGGUGGGGCCACGCAAAUUUCUCAACAGACCGUACCGAUAUCCGCAGCCGGUCUCCAAGGUGAAGAGUCUCUAGUCGAUAGAAUAAUGUAGGUAAGGGAAGUCGGCAA